rnacentral:rRNA from 1 species
CCUACGGGCGGCAGCAGUGGGGAAUAUUGGACAAUGGGGGGAACCCUGAUCCAGCCAUGCCGCGUGUGUGAAGAAGGCCCUCGGGUUGUAAAGCACUUUCAGUGAGGAAGAACGCCUGGUGGUUAAUACCCAUCAGGAAAGACAUCACUCACAGAAGAAGCACCGGCUAACUCCGUGCCAGCAGCCGCGGUAAUACGGAGGGUGCGAGCGUUAAUCGGAAUUACUGGGCGUAAAGCGCGCGUAGGUGGCUUGAUAAGCCGGUUGUGAAAGCCCCGGGCUCAACCUGGGAACGGCAUCCGGAACUGUCAAGCUAGAGUGAAGGAGAGGAAGGUAGAAUUCCCGGUGUAGCGGUGAAAUGCGUAGAGAUCGGGAGGAAUACCAGUGGCGAAGGCGGCCUUCUGGACUGACACUGACACUGAGGUGCGAAAGCGUGGGUAGCAAACAGGAUUAGAUACCCCAGUAGUC